AUUGAACGCUGGCGGCAUGCCUUACACAUGCAAGUCGAACGGUAACAGGUCUUCGGAUGCUGACGAGUGGCGAACGGGUGAGUAAUACAUCGGAACGUGCCUAGUAGUGGGGGAUAACUACUCGAAAGAGUGGCUAAUACCGCAUGAGAUCUACGGAUGAAAGCAGGGGAUCGCAAGACCUUGUGCUACUAGAGCGGCCGAUGGCAGAUUAGGUAGUUGGUGGGAUAAAAGCUUACCAAGCCGACGAUCUGUAGCUGGUCUGAGAGGACGAUCAGCCGCACUGGGACUGAGACACGGCCCAGACUCCUACGGGAGGCAGCAGUGGGGAAUUUUGGACAAUGGGCGCAAGCCUGAUCCAGCAAUGCCGCGUGCAGGAAGAAGGCCUUCGGGUUGUAAACUGCUUUUGUACGGAACGAAAAGGCUCUGGUUAAUACCUGGGGCUCAUGACGGUACCGUAAGAAUAAGCACCGGCUAACUACGUGCCAGCCGCCGCGGUAAGAC
rnacentral:rRNA from 1 species